rnacentral:lncRNA from 1 species
UUCUGGAUGAUUUUAAUGCACGACUUCUGGCACACAUAGGCGUGUUUAUGUUGAUUCUAAUGUUAUGAGAAACUAUUAAUGCCGAGUACUCACUGACCAUCUGGUCUGAUAAACUUUGGGUGGUUUGAAUUCUUUGCAGUAUUUUUUUUUUUCAGCAAAUCUCCUCUUAGGGUAGUCAUAAGGCUCAUUUUUAUUGUGUCCAUGAUCUCUUACCCAAAAUAGUGAUAUUUUUAUGUACUGGAUCAAAGAAAGAUUGUGAUUAUAGCAGGGACUAUUAUGAAACCAGAAAGGAGCCAACUAAAGAGAAAAGGGUUAUUUUUAAAUGUCAUUCUUCAAAUAUGACUGACUGUAAAUAAACUGUAUAUUGCCCUUUGAGGGAAGAGCCUGAAGUGGAAACACCACAUAUGGCCAUCAGGAGGCCUGGUGUGGGGCUUCUGAAAGUUCCAAGUGACUCUAGAUAUGGCCUGGCUAUGGAAUUCUUCUGCUUACAGCUUCAGAGGACAGGCUUUUUCAGAGCACUGGAAACUACUUGUUUCACAGAUGGAAAUGUGGCUUUUUUCAUUUUUACCACUAUUACUGAUGUCUGUAGAAAAAGUUACAUAAACUUUCCCGGGCUCAGGGCAAACAAUCCCUCUGGGAAGCUGUAGGAUGGAUGGUUCAACAGUGAUCUGGAAAGGGUGACAUCUCAUCACCCAUUAUCUCCAAGAUAAACUGAAGAGAGGGACUUGUUCAGAAUCGUGUGAAGAUAGAGAGCCCGCACCAUGUUUCCACGGUGACAUUCUGUUUGUGGCCAAGUCUUUUGUUCCCUUCAAGUACACCGUGUUUGGUGCUAUGCAGCAGGUUGUUUCUUCCGACCCACGCUGUUCCCUACAGCCUGCUUCUACCUCCAGUUUCUCUUUGUCAUGAGUUCCUACUUUGGGGAAAGUUGGUUGUCACUCUUACCACUACAUUCUUCCUGGUAUAGUAUUGGUCAGACAGGCCCCUUUCUGAUUGCUAUCUUUCCAGGAAGGACAACAGAGCUGACCUUGGAGGACAUGGGCCAGGAGAUCUAAGAUGAGAUUCCCAGGACUGCUACCUAGGUCCAACUUAGACUCUGAGAACCAAGGAAAAUGAACCUCACCCAAGUUCCUAGGUGGCAACUGAGGACCAGCCCACUGGGAGGCCAGCUGGGGUCCCAAGCCUGGUUAUUCAAAGUAUGGGCUCUAGAACAACAGCCCUGGCAUCAUCUGGAGUGUUUAGGAUGUAGAAGCUCAACUCCCAGUCCCCACUUAACACAUUAGACCUCUGGGUGCUUUUGGCGAGCAUAAAAUCUUGAGAAGUACAUCUCAGAGAACCCGAGGCAAGGUCAAGGAUCAGUCAGGGUUGGUUGAGGGACUGAACCUCAGUAGGGUUGGGAGUGAGAGCAGGUCAGAAGGGAGAGAAAUACUUGAAGCUGUCUCCACGAGCUGUGGGUAUAUGGUUAUGUGGUAUGCAGGUAUAUCUAGACUCUAAAAGGGGUUUGAAUUCUCCAGUCAGCCUUCUCUGAGACUGUAAAAGACAGGGGCCCAUCUUCCUCCUUCAUCUGUUCCAGACCUACCCAGACAUCUCAGAGCUCCAAGAUAUGUACUCAUUCUUUGUUGAACUGAAUGGGGUCCCCCAGAAAUCCCACUAGUCAUAUAUCCUGAGUUUAUGAUCAUAGAGAGUCACCUUUGAUUCUGCAUCUCCCCCAGGAAUCUCUUGGUGUAAUAAGUAUGCUUGGGUGUUUUCUGUAGCACAAAUCAAAGCAAAACAAAAUACCCUGCUGGGUCACAGCAGAUCCAGCACCACAUCCCCCGAGAGUUCAGGCGGUGUCCAAAGAACUCAUCAUGAGAGCUGACCUGCUAAUGUGUGAUUUCUGCAAAAGGGCCAACGAACCUGCUGGCUCCCAUGACGGCUGUCUGGAAAGUCAGUGCCCAGGCGCCAAAUCCAGAGGUGCGCUUUGUACUUGGAGAGACAGAAUGGCCAGCCACCUCGAGGCUUCAGGAGCUGGAUCAGUGCACAGCAGCCUCCAACUGGCAAGAGUUAAUGCUAAGGUGCAGCUGCAGGAAUGUGAAGCUGGAGAGCUAGCUCGGGGAAUUGCUAUUGCAAUCAGAGGACAGCCCAAGUCAGAGUUCCAAAACCCUUUGAAGGGCUGCCAGCUCGGACACAUGUCUCCAAUUAUCAUAUGCAAUCUUGAGGCAGUGUGCAAGCUGCACUUUCAUUAUGUCAAAGUGAAAGGAGUGGUGAGGGAGAGAUAAAGUGGGGAGAGGCCGCCAGGCCGGAGACUGCUUCGCUGUGGCACCAAAUGUCAGCCCGGGUGCAGAGUGAGCCUCCAACGUAUGUCUGUCCGGGAGCCCGAGGUGUGUGGCUCCUACUCUGAGAGCCUUUGUUUUCUUUCUUUCAUUCUGAGGAUGGAGGAGAACCAGCUGACAGCCACAGGAGGCCCUGUCUCUAGGAAACUUGACCAUCUCUUUGGUAUUGGAUCUGACCACAGAUAAGAUUCUGUGGAAACUUCCCAGGGACAUCCACUGUGUCCAGCCACAGGCUUUCAGGUUAUUUCUUAAAAUUUUUCAAGGUCUGUAUUUCCAUGGGGAGCCGGUUCCUUUGCCUGGUGUAACUAAGAAGGAGGCAUAAGAAUAGAUAGCUCCUUCUUGCCUAUCCAGGGUUGGCUGUUUCUAGGCUGGGUUUUGCUUUUUUUUUUUUCAUUCUGAACCAAGUCCUAGCCCAGGAGACCAUUGCCCUCAACUUCAUUUUCCAAACACAGACCAAUAGAUUUUCCUCAGAGACAUCUCCCAGGCUUAUCUCUUCCACACCAUUGCCUCUUAGGACUGAGCUCAUCAUUUGGAAUGGAUAUUUGACUGAUCCAUGUGUUACUCUGUGUUUUUAACCGCCCAGUGUAAAAGGAGCUGUGCUUUGCCAGCAUUUGCAGAGAGGACUGAGAGAGCCAGCCUCAGGACUCAGCUCUGCUGUCAGCAUCCCCGAACUUGUCCCAUUACAGAGGGCUGCUUCCUCUCCACCAUGGGCAGCUGAUGACUUUGGCUCUGUGUGGCCCAGUGCCUGCAACUGUUCUGUUCCUGCCUUUAGUAGGAAGACCAUGAGGUCAACACUGAGGACAGGUUGGAGGAUGUCUUCAGAUGAAAGAAGGUGCCAAAGAGAAGAGGGAAACCAAGGGGUUGGGACCCUGGCCGUGCAGUGACCUCUCGGGGAAGCCAAGAUAGACUGCUAGCUGGAACUUCCCCCCACACAGGGGAAGAGUUCAAGCUGUGGAAAGGCCCUGGCCUGAG